GUAAGGAAUAUUGGUCAAUGGACGGAAGUCUGAACCAGCCAUGCCGCGUGGAGGAUGAAGGUCCUCUGGAUUGUAAACUUCUUUUAUAGGGGGCGAAAAAAGGGAAUUCUUUCUCGUCUGACGGUACCCUAUGAAUAAGCACCGGCUAACUCCGUGCCAGCAGCCGCGGUAAUACGGAGGGUGCAAGCGUUAUCCGGAUUCACUGGGUUUAAAGGGAGCGUAGGCGGGCAUGUAAGUCAGUGGUGAAAGCCCUCAGCUUAACUGAGGAACUGCCAUUGAUACUAUAUGUCUUGAAUGUCGUUGAGGUUUGCGGAAUAGGUCAUGUAGCGGUGAAAUGCUUAGAUAUGACCUAGAACACCUAUUGCGAAGGCAGCAGGCUAAACGAAUAUUGACGCUGAGGCUCGAAAGCGUGGGGAUCAAACAGGAUUAGAAACCCUGGUAGUCC
rnacentral:rRNA from 1 species